AUUGAACGCUGGCGGCAGGCCUAACACAUGCAAGUCGAGCGGAUGAAGGGAGCUUGCUCCUGGAUUCAGCGGCGGACGGGUGAGUAAUGCCUAGGAAUCUGCCUGGUAGUGGGGUAUAACGUCCGGAAACGGGCGCUAAUACCGCAUACGUCCUGAGGGAGAAAGUGGGGGAUCUUCGGACCUCACGCUAUCAGAUGAGCCUAGGUCGGAUUAGCUAGUUGGUGGGGUAAAGGCCUACCAAGGCGACGAUCCGUAACUGGUCUGAGAGGAUAAUCAGUCACACUGGAACUGAGACACGGUCCAGACUCCUACGGGAGGCAGCAGUGGGGAAUAUUGGACAAUGGGCGAAAGCCUGAUCCAGCCAUGCCGCGUGUGUGAAGAAGGUCUUCGGAUUGUAAAGCACUUUAAGUUGGGAGGAAGGGCAGUAAGUUAAUACCUUGCUGUUUUGACGUUACCAACAGAAUAAGCACCGGCUAACUUCGUG
rnacentral:rRNA from 1 species